UACGUAGGGGGCGAGCGUUGUCCGGAUUCAUUGGGCGUAAGGAGCUCGUAGGCGGCUUGGCAAGUCGGAUGUGAAAACUCCAGGCUCAACCUGGAGCCGCCAUUCGAUACUGCUAUGGCUAGAGUCCGGUAGGGGAGUGUGGAAUUCCCGGUGUAGCGGUGAAAUGCGCAGAUAUCGGGAGGAACACCGAUGGCGAAGGCAGCACUCUGGGCCGGUACUGACGCUGAGGAGCGAAAGCGUGGGGAGCGAACAGG
rnacentral:rRNA from 1 species